AGUGAACGCUGGCGGUAGGCCUAACACAUGCAAGUCGAACGGCAGCACAGUAAGAGCUUGCUCUUACGGGUGGCGAGUGGCGGACGGGUGAGAAAUACAUCGGAAUCUACUUUUUCGUGGGGGAUAACGUAGGGAAACUUACGCUAAUACCGCAUACGACCUACGGGUGAAAGCAGGGGAUCUUCGGACCUUGCGCGAUUGAAUGAGCCGAUGUCGGCUUAGCUAGUUGGCGGGGUAAAGGCCCACCAAGGCGACGAUCCGUAGCUGGUCUGAGAGGAUGAUCAGCCACACUGGAACUGAGACACGGUCCAGACUCCUACGGGAGGCAGCAGUGGGGAAUAUUGGACAAUGGGCGCAAGCCUGAUCCAGCCAUACCGCGUGGGUGAAGAAGGCCUUCGGGUUGUAAAGCCCUUUUGUUGGGAAAGAAAAGCAGCAGGUUAAUACCCCGCUGUUCUGACGGUACCCAAAGAAUAAGCACCGGCUAACUUCGUG
rnacentral:rRNA from 1 species